AGCAGCAGCCGCGGUAAUACAGAGGGUGCGAGCGUUAAUCGGAUUUACUGGGCGUAAAGCGUGCGUAGGCGGCUUCUUAAGUCGGAUGUGAAAUCCCUGAGCUUAACUUAGGAAUUGCAUUCGAUACUGGGAAGCUAGAGUAUGGGAGAGGAUGGUAGAAUUCCAGGUGUAGCGGUGAAAUGCGUAGAGAUCUGGAGGAAUACCGAUGGCGAAGGCAGCCAUCUGGCCUAAUACUGACGCUGAGGUACGAAAGCAUGGGGAGCAAACAGGAUUAGAUACCCCAGUAGUCCCUGUCUCUAUACA
rnacentral:rRNA from 1 species